rnacentral:rRNA from 1 species
CUGAGGCGUGAUGACGAGGCACUACGGUGCUGAAGCAACAAAUGCCCUGCUUCCAGGAAAAGCCUCUAAGCAUCAGGUAACAUCAAAUCGUACCCCAAACCGACACAGGUGGUCAGGUAGAGAAUACCAAGGCGCUUGAGAGAACUCGGGUGAAGGAACUAGGCAAAAUGGUGCCGUAACUUCGGGAGAAGGCACGCUGACACGUAGGUGAAGUGAUUUACUCACGGAGCUGAAGUCAGUCGAAGAUACCAGCUGGCUGCAACUGUUUAUUAAAAACACAGCACUGUGCAAACACGAAAGUGGACGUAUACGGUGUGACGCCUGCCCGGUGCCGGAAGGUUAAUUGAUGGGGUCAGCGCAAGCGAAGCUCCUGAUCGAAGCCCCGGUAAACGGCGGCCGUAACUAUAACGGUCCUAAGGUAGCGAAAUUCCUUGUCGGGUAAGUUCCGACCUGCACGAAUGGCGUAAUGAUGGCCAGGCUGUCUCCACCCGAGACUCAGUGAAAUUGAACUCGCUGUGAAGAUGCAGUGUACCCGCGGCAAGACGGAAAGACCCCGUGAACCUUUACUAUAGCUUGACACUGAACAUUGAGCCUUGAUGUGUAGGAUAGGUGGGAGGCUUUGAAGUGUGGACGCCAGUCUGCAUGGAGCCGACCUUGAAAUACCACCCUUUAAUGUUUGAUGUUCUAACGUGGACCCGUAAUCCGGGUUGCGGACAGUGUCUGGUGGGUAGUUUGACUGGGGCGGUCUCCUCCUAAAGAGUAACGGAGGAGCACGAAGGUUGGCUAAUCCUGGUCGGACAUCAGGAGGUUAGUGCAAUGGCAUAAGCCAGCUUGACUGCGAGCGUGACGGCGCGAGCAGGUGCGAAAGCAGGUCAUAGUGAUCCGGUGGUUCUGAAUGGAAGGGCCAUCGCUCAACGGAUAAAAGGUACUCCGGGGAUAACAGGCUGAUACCGCCCAAGAGUUCAUAUCGACGGCGGUGUUUGGCACCUCGAUGUCGGCUCAUCACAUCCUGGGGCUGAAGUAGGUCCCAAGGGUAUGGCUGUUCGCCAUUUAAAGUGGUACGCGAGCUGGGUUUAGAACGUCGUGAGACAGUUCGGUCCCUAUCUGCCGUGGGCGCUGGAGAACUGAGGGGGGCUGCUCCUAGUACGAGAGGACCGGAGUGGACGCAUCACUGGUGUUCGGGUUGUCAUGCCAAUGGCACUGCCCGGUAGCUAAAUGCGGAAGAGAUAAGUGCUGAAAGCAUCUAAGCACGAAACUUGCCCCGAGAUGAGUUCUCCCUGAGACUUAGAGUCUCCUGAAGGAACGUUGAAGACGACGACGUUGAUAGGCCGGGUGUGUAAGCGCAGCGAUGCGUUGAGCUAACCGGUACUAAUGAACCGUGAGGCUUAACCUUACAACGCCGAAGAUGUUUUGGCGG